GUAUAAGUUGUUACGAGCACACGGUGGAUGCCUUGGCAUCAGGAGCUGAUGAAGGACGUGGAAAUCUGCGAUAAGCCUCGGGGAGCUGAUAAACGAGCUGUGAUCCGAGGGUCUCCGAAUGGGGUAACCCGGCUGCGUGUUAUGCGUAGUCACUCGUAUCUGAAUUCAUAGGGUGCGAGGAGGAACGUGGGGAAGUGAAACAUCUCAGUACCCAUAGGAAGAGAAAACAACAGUGAUUCCGUGAGUAGUGGCGAGCGAAAGCGGAUGGUGGCUAAACCGGUUGUGUGUGAUACCUGGCGAGGGUUGCAUGAUCGGGGUUGUGGGAUGCGUUGUUCCUGGGGUCGCCACCCUGGGCGCUGUGGCGUGGUGGUAGUCGAACUGGUGGUGAGUGCCAGACCGUAGGGGGUGUGAGUCCCGUAGACGAAACUGUCAUUGUCGUGGUGUGACGUUCUCCCGAGUAGCACGGGGCCCGUGAAAUCUCGUGUGAAUCUGCCAGGACCACCUGGUAAGCCUGAAUACUUCCUGAUGACCGAUAGCGGAUCAGUACCGUGAGGGAAUGGUGAAAAGUACCCCGGGAGGGGAGUGAAAUAGUACCUGAAACCGUGUGCUUACAAGCCGUUGGAGCCUUUAGGGGUGACAGCGUGCCUUUUGAAGAAUGAGCCUGCGAGUUAGUGUUACGUCGCGAGAUUAACCCGUGUGGGGUAGUCGUAGCGAAAGCGAGUCUGAAUAGGGCGUUGUGAGUGGCGUGAUCUAGACCCGAAGCGGGGUGAUCUACCCAUGGCCAGGUUGAAGCGCGUGUAAGAGCGCGUGGAGGACCGAACCCACUUCAGUUGAAAAUGGAGGGGAUGAGCUGUGGGUAGGGGUGAAAGGCCAAUCAAACUCCGUGAUAGCUGGUUCUCCCCGAAAUGCAUUUAGGUGCAGCGUUGCGUGUUGCUUGCUGGAGGUAGAGCUACUGGAUGGCUGAUGGGCCCUACAAGGUUACUGACGUCAACCAAACUCCGAAUGCCAGUCAAGUUGAGCGUGGCAGUGAGACUGUGGGGGAUAAGCUUCAUAGUCGAAAGGGAAACAGCCCAGACCAUCAACUAAGGCCCCUAAGCGUGUGCUAAGUGGGAAAGGAUGUGGAGUUGCUUAGACAACCAGGAGGUUGGCUUAGAAGCAGCCACCCUUGAAAGAGUGCGUAAUAGCUCACUGGUCAAGUGAUUCCGCGCCGAUAAUGUAGCGGGGCUCAAGUACACCGCCGAAGUUGUGGCAUGACACCGUAUAGCUGAGCCGUUUGUGGUUGAGGUGGUGUUGUGGGUAGGGGAGCGUCGUUGGGGUAGUGAAGCUGCGGGGUGACCCAGUGGUGGAACCUCAACGAGUGAGAAUGCAGGCAUGAGUAGCGAUAGACGGGUGAGAAACCCGUCCGCCGGAUGAUCAAGGGUUCCAGGGUCAAGCUAAUCUGCCCUGGGUGAGUCGGGACCUAAGGCGAGGCCGACAGGCGUAGUCGAUGGACAACGGGUUGAUAUUCCCGUACCGACGAAGAACCGACCCUACUGAACCGGGGAUACUAACCACCCGAACCACCAUGACCGUGUGCCCUUGUGGUACGCGGGGUGUGUGGGGAGCGUGGGACCUGAUCCGGGGAGGUAAACGUGUUAACAGGUGUGACGCAGGAAGGUAGCCGAGCCAGGCGAUGGUUGUCCUGGUCUAAGCAUGUAGGGUGACCCGUUGGUAAAUCCGCGGGUUGUGUGCCUGAGAUGUGAUGGGACUCUCUUAGGUGAGGGAAUUCGGUGAUCCUAUGCUGCCAAGAAAAGCAUCGACGUGAGGUUCUAGUCGCCCGUACCCCAAACCGACACAGGUGAUCAGGUAGAGAAUACUAAGGCGUUCGAGAGAAUCAUGGUUAAGGAACUCGGCAAAAUGCCCCCGUAACUUCGGGAGAAGGGGGGCCCUGUCUGGUGAGCACACGUGCUGUGUGAGCUGGGUG
rnacentral:rRNA from 1 species